AUCAGGUUUGGACCAGGUUGUAAGGAUAAAAGUGUAAGUUUCUGUCUCAUGCAGGUAAAGACUUGCUUAUAAAGACUCUGGCUCGAGCGAUUCCUACAUAUAUGAUGCAGUGUUUCUAGCUGUCUGUGGGUCUAUUUGUUGAGUUACGUUUAAUUAUUAACCAGUUUUCAUGGGGCUACAAGAACAUGGAGAGAAGGAUGCAUCUCUAUAGAUGGGAUAAAUUAUGUAGACUGGAGGAAGGAGGGUUUGGGUUUAGAGACUUUCAUUGUUUUAAUCUGGCUUUGUUAGCUAAGCAGGGUGGCGAAUUAUUAAAUCCCCACUUCUCUCCUCAGUUGGUUGCAUAAGUCGGUGGUAUUUUCCCCAAGGUAAUUUUCUUGAUGCCCCAGUCGGUGAACUAGAUGAAGCAUCUGUGCUGGUAGGGAAGUGUUGAGUAAGAGCUUGAGAUGGAGGCUUGGGAAUGGGGAGAAAAUCUCUGUUCGGUCAGAUAGGCGGAUUUUAGAACCAUCUACUUUCAGACUAAUCACUAUUGCCAGGAUUCUGCAUUUGGAUGCUGAGGUAUCUAAUUUAAUUGGUAAUGAUUUGAAUGUAUGGAAGUGGGAUUUGUUGGCGCAAGUUUUUCUUGCCAUUAGAUGUGGAGCGCAUUUGGUCCAUCCCUUUGGGUUUGAUUGAUUGAGAGGAUGCUUUGAUUUGGCAUUUGGAUAGAAGUGGGAAUAUAUGGUUAAGAGCUGGUACUGGGUUGCUCUGGAUAUGCUUCAGCCAGUUGAUGCGCCAUCUACAUAUGCUUCUCCAGUUAAUAAGGUCUGGUGGGGUACUUAGCGGUCACCUGUGAUGCCGAAAGUCAGGAAUUUCCCAUGGAGAGUUGCCCUUGAUAUGUUACCUACGAGAUAUGUGUUGUCCAGAUGAAUUCCAUCUAUUAAACAGUCAUGCCUUUUCUGUUCCUAGCCUGAGACACCUAUUCAUCUUUUCGGGACUGUUAGUAGACUAGACCAAUUGUCUUCUGUUGCUCCUUCGCCCUGUGUUUCUUUGUGCAAUGGAUUGCAUACCAUUUGGAUAAGUUGUCUAGAGAUGAGUUGGUCAUGUUCUCUAUGAUGUGCUAUUGUAUAUAGUAUGCUAGAAAUAAAUUUUGUUUUGAGAAUUAAGGACUCUAGG
rnacentral:misc_RNA from 1 species